GUCUUGAAUGUUUAUUUAUUUUAGGUCUAACCUGCUCAAUGAUUAUUUUAUUAAAUAGCCGCAGUAUUUUGACUGUGCGAAGGUAGCAUAAUCAUUUGUCUUUUAAUUGAAGGCUUGUAUGAAUGGUUUGACAAACUAUAAACUUUCUUUUUAUUAAAAUUAUUGAAUUUAAUUUUUUAGUUAAAAAGCUAAAAUUUAUUUAUAGGACGAGAAGACCCUAUAGAAUUUUAUUUAAUUUAUGGUUUUUAUUUUAUGGUAAUUGUAAAUGAUUAUUUUAGGUUAAAUUUUGUUGGGGCGACAGGGAAAUUGGAAUAACUUUCUUUAUUUAUUUGUUAUUAAUUGAUAUUUUAAUGAUCCUUGUUUAUGGAGAGUAAGAUUAAAUUACCUUAGGGAUAACAGCGUAAUUUCCUUUGAGAGUUCAUAUCGAUAAGGGAGUUUGCGACCUCGAUGUUGGAUUAAAAUAAGUAUAAGGUGCAGUAGCUUUAAUUACUGGG
rnacentral:rRNA from 1 species